CAGUCGCCGCGGUAAUACAGAGGGUGCGAGCGUUAAUCGGAUUUACUGGGCGUAAAGCGUGCGUAGGCGGCUUCUUAAGUCGGAUGUGAAAUCCCUGAGCUUAACUUAGGAAUUGCAUUCGAUACUGGGAAGCUAGAGUAUGGGAGAGGAUGGUAGAAUUCCAGGUGUAGCGGUGAAAUGCGUAGAGAUCUGGAGGAAUACCGAUGGCGAAGGCAGCCAUCUGGCCUAAUACUGACGCUGAGGUACGAAAGCAUGGGGAGCAAACAGGAUUAGAUACCCGGGUAGUCCCUGUCUCUUAUCA
rnacentral:rRNA from 1 species